AACCUCCGCAAUGUGAGAAAUCGCGACGGGGGGAUCCCAAGUGCCAUUCUUAACGGGAUGGCUUUUCAUUAGUGUAAAGAGCUUUUGGAAUAAGAGCUGGGCAAGACCGGUGCCAGCCGCCGCGGUAACACCGGCAGCUCUAGUGGUAACAAUUUUUAUUGGGCCUAAAGCGUCCGUAGCCGGUUUAAUAAGUCUCUGGUGAAAUCCUGCAGCUUAACUGUGGGAAUUGCUGGAGAUACUAUUAGACUUGAGACCGGGAGAGGUUAGAGGUACUCCCAGGGUAGAGGUGAAAUUCUGUAAUCCUGGGAGGACCGCCUGUUGCGAAGGCGUCUAACUGGAACGGUUCUGACGGUGAGGGACGAAAGUUAGGGGCGCGAACCGGAUUAGAUACCCGGGUAGUCCUAACUGUAAACGAUGCGACUUGGUGUUGGGGUGGCUUUGAGCUGCUUCAGUGCCGAAGGGAAGCUGUUAAGUCCGCCGCCUGGGAAGUACGGUCGCAAGACUGAAACUUAAAGGAAGU
rnacentral:rRNA from 1 species